rnacentral:rRNA from 1 species
UACGGAGGGGGCUAGCGUUGUUCGGAAUUACUGGGCGUAAAGCGCGCGUAGGCGGCUUUGUAAGUUAGAGGUGAAAGCCCGGGGCUCAACUCCGGAAUUGCCUUUAAGACUGCAUCGCUAGAAUCGUGGAGAGGUAAGUGGAAUUCCGAGUGUAGAGGUGAAAUUCGUAGAUAUUCGGAAGAACACCAGUGGCGAAGGCGACUCACUGGACACAUAUUGACGCUGAGGUGCGAAAGCGUGGGGAGCAAACAGG